UAUUUUCCAAAAAGAAAAGGAAAAAUUAAAGACAAAGGGCCCUCAAAUUUGGUCUUGUCCUGGGACCCCGCAGCUCAAUGUACCUACGUCUUUUGUUAACAUAGAAACAAUUCCAGCCUUCAAUUCCAUUACGCAUUACUGCAACCAAAAAGUUUGCUGUAGAAAUCAAAACAUUUUUGUUAUCUUGCGCCCGAGUUUCAAAAAAUUCAACUUCGCAUAUUUACAAACUCUUAGACGUGGUAAGGAUUUCUAUGUCAAAUGGCCUUCAUAACUUGAACUUUUCCAUAACUUUAAAUAUCAAUGAAACCAAACUCUACUUCAUCUUUCUCUGCAAGCAGGAACAGGAAGUCCAAUUUUAAUUUCAAGUCAACCACCAUUUCUAGUUUAUAUCACCGAAACCAAGAAGAUACUUUUCCGCAAUCUUUUCGAGUUCAUGCCAAGAUUUCAUCUGCCAAUAAUAUUGUUCACAUGUUGUGUGUUUACGCUGCAUCACGAACAGAGUUUUGCAUACAAGCAUAUCUACGUAAUUUUAGUUUCUCGAAGUAAGCCCCCUGCUGUCUUGCUUCUGUCUCACGAAAGCCAUAUGGAAGAGUAGCAUUGGAGAACAAUAUACUCCAAAAAUGUAUACCCACAAACACUUUGGAAUUUCCGUCUUGGCAAUAAAACUCGCAUAAACAUACUCGUACUUAAAGAAAAAAGAAUCCUUAAGAAAUUGUAGAACUUCCUACACGUCCCUGUGAACAAUACGUAUGUUAGCCAAGCGACGUUGAGCACAUACUCAAUGUUCAAAAAUGUUCACUUGAAGCAUAAAAUAUUGGGCGCCAAAGGCUGCAGGAUACGCAAUCAUAAGAAUUGAUGUAAUAAUUUAAAGUGUUUCUGUCCGCAUGGGCGCUUUUACUACAAAUGUCCUUCGUCACCCUUUGAACCAACUCGACUAUCGAACCAAGAACCAAACUGAACCUUUUCACAUAUAGGUGGGGACACUUUAGCAUUGAUUUAUCGGAUAUUCUGUGAAAAUAUAUGUUUCUUGGCAGUUUAGUGGUGUAUAUGUGUGUUGGGGGUGGUUGAUUGGUUUAUUUAUCAUUUUUUUUCUUCAUCUUCAAAUGAAUUAUGUGCUGUUAGGAGUAUUUUUCUCAUGACCCUAAGCACCGGUGAAGUGGAUAUGAUUUUAACACCUCUUCGGUUCACUCAAUUUAUUGAGAUAAUUUCAGCUUUAUGUUCCGGAAUUUGUCAUGCCAGCAUGUUAUGAGAUGAUGAAGAGGGACCAUUUAUGUGUUCCUAAUGGAUAAAGAGAAAAUAAAUUAAGUACUUAUUUUCAAACCUUUA